rnacentral:lncRNA from 1 species
CAUUACCUUCAUUUGUGUUUAACUUAAGAUUUGUGCCACUUAUAGUUCGGGAGAACAAGGAUAAAGAUCUUAAGGAUGGACUAGUAUUCCAGGGUCCUAUUGAUCUGUCAGUCAAACUUCUUACUGAAAAGGUGAAAUGGAUAAUGCUGCUUGGCAGUGUACAGAUGUGGUUUUGUUUUGUUUUAGGGAAAAUGGCCAAUCACAAAAACAGCUGCCUUCCUGGAAAAGUGAGAUUCUAACUCUUUGUGUUACUGGCAUGGAAAAGAUAGUGGCUCUGAUAAUUUGGUCAGUGCCAGCCAAUGGUGAGAACAUUCUAUGAUUGCCAUAUGUCAUGUGACCAUAUGUCACAAUCAGUAGAAAGGCAGUUCUGGUUCAAAAUAACAGAAUAAAGACUAGAACACUAUUGUUUUGCUAGCAAAGUUUUGUUCUCAUUUUUUUUUUUUCUUAUUACAAAGUGACUUUGUGUUCUUACAGUUUGUGGGUGCAUAGUUCAUGACAAUGGGCGGGACAUUUAACUUGUUUUUCCUCACUGUGGUAUAGGUGGAAUGAAAAUAAAACAAGGUGUUGCUUGAUCUUGUUUAGUGCAUCUCCAAUCUUGCUUAUGACAAGUUUGAAUCAGCGCAGUGAAGAGAGGGGAGAAAAACUGGAAAAAUGUAGAGGUCUUGUGUAAAUACACUAAAAUUUGCAACACGUUUUUAAUGGCAGUGUUAUUUGUAUUUUCUAUGGUUGGUGGUUUCAAAUGUUUGGAGAAAACCCAAAAUUUUAUUUUAAAAGUAAAGUCAUAAGGACAGCAAAAAAAGCCAAUAAAAAGUAAUGAAAGUUUUCCUUAUAGCUUAAACACGAAUGACAAAUAUUUUUGAGCUAACUUUUGGAAAUGUACACAUCUUUGAGUGAUAGACAAUUAAAGAACCCAGGAAAAUCCCUAAAAUGGUAUCCUAUUGGGCAGGUACUGAAUGAAUCUUUUUGUGGGAAAAGAUGUCAGUUAAUUUUUGAAUUGUUUGGACAAUCUCUGAAAGGACUAUGAAGUAAGCAUAUGUAUAAGCAUAGUGAAUACAUACAAGUAUGUAUUCAUUGACUUAGAUUCAUUGACUUAGAUUAAUAGCCUUACAAAAAGCAAAACCUAUUUAUAAAUAAUAAGCCAAAAUGAAUAGGAGGAAUAGAUUAGAUAGGAGUUGAUUAAAUAGAUAGGAAAGACAGCAGGGAGUCAUAAAAUACAUUUUUAAAAAAUUUAUCCAUCUUUAAUUCUGUCAACUAUAUUAGAGACCAAAUGUUACCUAAGAGAGAGCUCUAAGGCCUCUCUUCAAUGGGAGAAAGUAAUCUCAAUUUUUUUUUUUUUUU